AGUGAACGCUGGCGGUAGGCCUAACACAUGCAAGUCGAACGGCAGCACAGUAAGAGCUUGCUCUUACGGGUGGCGAGUGGCGGACGGGUGAGGAAUACAUCGGAAUCUACUUUUUCGUGGGGGAUAACGUAGGGAAACUUACGCUAAUACCGCAUACGACCUACGGGUGAAAGCAGGGGAUCUUCGGACCUUGCGCGAUUGAAUGAGCCGAUGGCGGAUUGGCUAGUUGGCGGGGUAAAGGCCCACCAAGGGGACGAUCCGUAGCUGGUCUGAGAGGAGGGUCAGCCACACUGGAGCUGAGCCACGGUACAGACUCCUACGGGAGGCAGCAGCGGGGAAUAGUGGACACUGGGAGGAAGCCUGAUCCAGCCAUGCCGGGUGGGUGAAGAAGGCCUGCGGGUUGUAAAGCCCUUUUGUUGGGAAAGAACAGCAUCAGGUGAAUACCCCGCUGUUCGGACGGUACCGAAAGAAUAAGCACCGGCUAACUUCGU
rnacentral:rRNA from 1 species